rnacentral:rRNA from 1 species
AUUGAACGCUGGCGGCAGGCCUAACACAUGCAAGUCGAGCGGAUGAAGAGAGCUUGCUCUCUGAUUUAGCGGCGGACGGGUGAGUAAUGCCUAGGAAUCUGCCUGGUAGUGGGGGAUAACGUUCCGAAAGGAACGCUAAUACCGCAUACGUCCUACGGGAGAAAGCAGGGGACCUUCGGGCCUUGCGCUAUCAGAUGAGCCUAGGUCGGAUUAGCUAGUUGGUGAGGUAAUGGCUCACCAAGGCUACGAUCCGUAACUGGUCUGAGAGGAUGAUCAGUCACACUGGAACUGAGACACGGUCCAGACUCCGACGGGAGGCAGGAGUGGGGAAUAUUGGACAAUGGGCGAAAGCCUGAUCCAGCCAUGCCGCGUGUGUGAAGAAGGUCUUCGGAUUGUAAAGCACUUUAAGUUGGGAGGAAGGGCAGUAAGUUAAUACCUUGCUGUUUUGACGUUACCGACAGAAUAAGCACCGGCUAACUUCGUGCCAGCCGCCACCGUAACAC